UAGGGAAUCUUCCACAAUGGACGCAAGUCUGAUGGAGCAACGCCGCGUGAGUGAAGAAGGCUUUCGGGUCGUAAAACUCUGUUAUUGAAGAAGAACGUGUGUGACAGUAACUGGUCAUGCAGUGACGGUAUUCAAUCAGAAAGUCACGGCUAACUACGUGCCAGCAGCCGCGGUAAUACGUAGGUGGCAAGCGUUGUCCGGAUUUAUUGGGCGUAAAGCGAGUGCAGGCGGUCUUUUAAGUCUGAUGUGAAAGCCUUCGGCUUAACCGAAGAAGGGCAUCGGAAACUGGGAGACUUGAGUGCAGAAGAGGAGAGUGGAACUCCAUGUGUAGCGGUGAAAUGCGUAGAUAUAUGGAAGAACACCAGUGGCGAAGGCGGUUCUCUGGUCUGUAACUGACGCUGAGGCUCGAAAGCGUGGGUAGCAAACAGGAUUAGAUACCCUGGUAGCCCACGCCGUAAACGAUGAAUACUAAGUGUUGGAGGGUUUCCGCCCUUCAGUGCUGCAGCUAACGCAUUAAGUAUUCCGCCUGGGGAGUACGACCGCAAGGUUGAAAC
rnacentral:rRNA from 1 species